UGGCUCACAACGACCGCUGGCGGCAGGCUUAACACAUGCCAAGUCGAGCGGGCAUAGCAAUAUGUACCNCGGCNGACGGGUGAGNAACGGCUGUGGGAACGUACCUUNNGGUUCGNAACAACUGACGGAAACUUCAGCUAAUACCGGAUAAGCCCUUACGGGGAAAGAUUUAUCGCCGAAAGAUCGGCCCGCUGUCUGAUUAGCUAGUUGGUGAGGNAAUGGCUCACCAAGGNGACGAUCAGUAGCUGGUCUGAGAGGAUGAUCNGCCACAUUGGGACUGANACACGGUCCAAACUCCUACGGGAGGCAAGCAGUGGGA
rnacentral:rRNA from 1 species